AGGGCGGGCUGUGGCGGCCCCGGCGCGUCCCGCGGCCGGGCCGCGCCGGGGCCGCCUGGUCUUGGUGGAAGUUACAUCCGCGGCAAGUCGGGCUGUAGGCAGAGUUAUUUAAAUGCUCACCGACGACGGCUCAGAGGAAUGCUGUCUGUAUCGGAGAGAGAAGCAGUGCUAGCUGACAGGAUAAUUUUCAUAGAGAAGGCGAUUCGUUAUUAGGAAAGUAAACUAAGAUGCUCCCUAUUACUUCUACAAAAGUUCAGCAGAUCCUGUAGGGACAGUAACAAGGAAAACACCAAAUCUCUCCACUGGUAUACCUGUUCUAAGAGGUGAGCAUUUUUCCACAGAUGAAUGUCCUACACAAGCAAAAUAAGAAAUAGUUCAAAAAUUCUUAAGAAUUUUAUGGGGUUUGUGAAAACUGGUGACUCUUGUUAGUAUAACUUUUUAUGAUAUUAUAAUAAAAAAAUGUAAAAUGUUUC
rnacentral:lncRNA from 1 species